rnacentral:rRNA from 1 species
UACGGGGGGGGCAAGCGUUGUUCGGAAUUACUGGGCGUAAAGGGCUCGUAGGUGGCCAACUAAGUCAGACGUGAAAUCCCUCGGCUUAACCGGGGAACUGCGUCUGAUACUGGAUGGCUUGAGAUUGGGAGAGGGAUGCGGAAUUCCAGGUGUAGCGGUGAAAUGCGUAGAUAUCGUAAGGAAGACCAGUGGCGAAGGCGAGUUCCUGGACAGUUGCUGACACUGAGGCACGAAGGCUAGGGGAGCAAACGGG